GAGGGUACAGCUCAGUGGUAGAGUGCGUGCCUAGCAUGCACAAGGUCCUAGGUUUAAUCCCUAGUGCCUCUG
rfam:Camelus ferus unplaced genomic scaffold scaffold51476, whole genome shotgun sequence.